ACAUUUUUGGCGAGAUUUUCACUAGUUUCUAGACAGUGCCUUCGAGAAACAGACGUUGAUGGUCAACAGUAAUAUACAAGAACUUGAGGAUAAAAAUCACGAGGAAUGCGAUUUGUUUCAAAAGUACAUCAGCAACGAUGAUAUUUUGGAUGGCAUCGUAAGAAGAUGGUGGAUGAGCUUACAGGAAUAAUUUACCAUCAAGGUAUAUUUACGACCAGACUUAUGGCGCGUGCAAAUAUUUAUUGUACAAAUAGGAUAUUGUGUCCCCAAUGAUCCGUUUGUAAACUUUACGCGGAAUUUGUAGCGUUGUUGGUGUAAAUCAUUCGUAACUUGAGUUGAAUAACAAAACAUAUUCGUUCAUUUAA